rnacentral:rRNA from 1 species
AGAGUUUGAUCCUGGCUCAGAGCGAACGUUAGCGGCGGGCCUAACACAUGCAAGUCGAACGAGAAUGUAGGCUUCGGUCUACUAGUAAAGCGGCGAACGGGUGAGUAACACGUGGGUAACCCACCCUCGGUACCGGGAUAGCCCGGGGAAACCCGGAUUAAUACCGGAUGGCCACUCCGGUCUACGGACUGGCGAGAAAAGGUAGCUUCGGCCUCCGACCGAGGACGGGCCCGCGGCCGAUUAGCUUGUUGGCGGGGUAACGGCCCACCAAGGCGACGAUCGGUAGCUGGUCUGAGAGGACGAUCAGCCACACUGGAACUGAGACACGGCCCAGACUCCUACGGGAGGCAGCAGUGGGGAAUCUUGCGCAAUGGGCGGAAGCCUGACGCAGCGACGCCGCGUGCGGGAAGAAGGCCUUCGGGUUGUAAACCGCUUUCAGAAGGGACGAAGCCACUCGGGUGAAUAGCCCAGAGGGUGACGGUACCUUCAGAAGAAGCCCCGGCUAACUACGUGCCAGCAGCCGCGGUAAU